rnacentral:rRNA from 1 species
AUUGAACGCUGGCGGCAGGCCUAACACAUGCAAGUCGAGCGGAUGAAGGGAGCUUGCUCCUGGAUUCAGCGGCGGACGGGUGAGUAAUGCCUAGGAAUCUGCCUGGUAGUGGGGGAUAACGUCCGGAAACGGGCGCUAAUACCGCAUACGUCCUGAGUGAGAAAGUGGGGGAUCUUCGGACCUCACGCUAUCAGAUGAGCCUAGGUCGGAUUAGCUAGUUGGUGGGGUAAAGGCCUACCAAGGCGACGAUCCGUAACUGGUCUGAGAGGAUGAUCAGUCACACUGGAACUGAGACACGGUACAGACUACUACGGGAGGCAGCAGUGGGGAAUAUUGGACAAUGGGAGAAAGCCUGAUCCAGACAUGCCGAGUGUGUGAAGAAGGUCUUCGGAUUGUAAAGCACUUUAAGUUGGGAGGAAGGGCAGUAAGUUAAUACCUUGCUGUUUUGACGUUACCAACAGAAUAAGCACCGGCUAACUUCGUG